rnacentral:lncRNA from 1 species
GCCCAGGCUGGCCCCUGGACUCCUGGGCUUAAGGGAUUCUCCUGGAUCAACCUCCCCAGUGGCCGGGACCACACCUCCCCUGGCUUUCAGUCUCUUUUCAGAACCUGGACUGGUUAGGUUGGAAAGGCCAGUGCUUCUCAAACUGUUUCCUGUCCCUACUGGGAGGCAGUAACCGGUUUCUGGUGCCCACUCCCGACCCCAAAACCCCAAAAGCCCAGGAACCUGAAUCUGAAGGAAGGAUUCUGAUGCAGGUGGCCCAGAGACCACAGUUCUUUCUUCAGAUAUUGAGAAUCCCCAUUUACCCACUGCUCACUGUGGUGCUGCGCCUGAACCCUUCCCUAUGGUGCCUACAUUGGUUCUCAGGAGAGCACAGGAGACAAGUCUAAUUGCUUAUUUUGUGGUGCUGGGGGUUGAACCUGGGGUCUCAAACAAGCUAGGCAAGCCGUCUACCACUGAGCUUCAACCCAGCUUCAUUACCUAUUUUAACAUGAAGAUGACCAAGGCUCAGAAAGUUUGAAGCCCUGUAACAAAGUCCCAGAGCCUGGUGGGAGAGUCAGCAUUCAAAGCUGACUGGGGAGAGUCCAGAGACCUAAAUGGUGCUGCAGCCUACCUCCUGGCAGCUAUACUUGGGAUUUAUGGAUUCCUGGUGAGGUCUGUGAUCCUGUGAAAUAGUACAUAAAUUUUGUCACAUCUAUGCAUUUUACGUUUCUUUCAUUCAAUUGUAAAAAGGGGAUUCUUGACCUGAAAGAUUUUAAGAAGUUCAGAUUGCUCCAGCCCCUGGUGAAACAGGGUGGAGAGAAUAACAUCCUCUCCUGAAGCAGGCAGAGAGCGGGGCUCCAGCCAGCACUGACCAGAGACCCAAGCACUGUCCCUCAUGUGCACCUGUGUCCCCUUCCAUGUGCCAGCAGCACUUCCGUAGCCACAGUCUGGGUUUAGACUCCAGUGGAGCAGAGCACAAAUUAUUUCAUAUGAUUAGCUACAAGAAUAAUGACAGUCACCCUCAGUAUUUGUGGGGGAUGGGUUCCAGGCCCCCUCUGGAUACUGAAAUCCAUGGAUGCUCAAGUCUCCUAUAUAAAAUAAUGUAGUAUUUGC